rnacentral:rRNA from 1 species
GAUGAACGCUGGCGGCGUGCUUAACACAUGCAAGUUGAACGGUCUGCUUAGGUAGACAGUGGCGCACGGGUGAGUAACGCGUAGGUGACCUAUCCUUUAGAGGGGGAUAACUCAGGGAAACUUGAGCUAAUACCGCAUGAGCUUGUGGUUGUUAGAGUGCCACAAGGAAAGCAGCGAUGUGCUGAAGGAGGGGCCUGCGUCCGAUUAGCUAGUUGGUGGGGUAAGGGCUUACCAAGGCGAUGAUCGGUAGCUGGUCUGAGAGGAUGAUCAGCCACACUGGAACUGAGACACGGCCCAGACUCCUACGGGAGGCAGCAGUGGGGAAUAUUGGACAAUGGGCGCAAGCCUGAUCCAGCAAUUCCGCGUGGGUGAAGAAGGUCUUCGGAUUGUAAAGCCCUUUCGUUGGGGACGAUGAUGACGGUACCCAAAGAAGAAGCCCGGCUAACUUCGUG